rnacentral:rRNA from 1 species
AUUGAACGCUGGCGGCAGGCUUAACACAUGCAAGUCGAGCGGAGACUUCGGUCUUAGCGGCGAACGGGUGAGGAAUGCCUGGGAAUCUGCCUGUUAGUGGGGGAUAACGAAUCGAAAGGUUCGCUAAUACCGCAUACGUCCUACGGGAGAAAGCAGGGGACCGUUCGGGCCUUGCGCUAACAGAUGAGCCCAGGUCGGAUUAGCUAGUAGGUGGGGUAAAGGCUCACCUAGGCGACGAUCCGUAGCUGGUCUGAGAGGAUGAUCAGCCACACUGGAACUGAGACACGGUCCAGACUCCUACGGGAGGCAGCAGUGGGGAAUAUUGGACAAUGGGCGAAAGCCUGAUCCAGCCAUGCCGCGUGUGUGAAGAAGGCCUCGGUUGUAAG